rnacentral:misc_RNA from 1 species
UUUCCGUAGGUGAACCUGCGGAAGGAUCAUUAUUCUAUAACCGAGGUGCAAGGGCUCGUGCUGACCCGAAAGGUCUUGCACGCUAGGGGGCUCUCACACGAAUCCAUCUUAGCCCUAGGUGCACCACCGUGAGGGUCGAACUAGGGUUUGGUGGCAGAGGGGCUAACAGUUUCACACAAGCCUUGAGUGUAGUGUACGAUGGAGAGUUAGUCUUUGCGAUCACGGCUGCAAGACAACUUUUAACCACGGAUCCCUUGGCUCUCCCAUCGACCAUGAACC